CCUGUCUGGACCAUCCAAGCCCACAACGUACCCUUUGCUUCCAGGAACUGAGUGGCUGUCUUUUCUGUUAAGCAAAGUAACAUCUGGUAUUGGAAAGCCAACAGAGAGCAACAGCAUCACCUGCGAACAGGAAUGCUUGGUGCUUUCUUCAGAAGGAAAAACCUGCCAUAAACUGAAAAGUCAAUCAUCUAUCCAUUGGGAAACAAAACUGCAGCACAGGGGAAAUGGAGGGUAGGAGAAGGUUCGUAAAUCUUGAGGACCAGUCAGAGCAAAGAAAUAGAAACCCUUGGGUCUGGAAUGGAAGCUGCUUAACUGGCCAGAACUACAGAAGUGAUAGAGAGCCUGGAACAGAAAAGGAAACGGGAUGGGAAGGGCCAAAUAGGCUGAAUGGCAGAGGUCAGGCAGGAUUUGAGCUGAAGAAGCAUCAUCCCUUAGAAAA